UCCGAUGUGGUGUAGUGGCUAACAUUGCUGUCUUUCAUAACAUAAGUGUCGGUCGGUAUGAGCACAGCAGCCCGGGGUUCGAUUCCCCGCAUCGGAA